rnacentral:rRNA from 1 species
AGUGAACGCUGGCGGUAGGCCUAACACAUGCAAGUCGAACGGCAGCACAGUAAGAGCUUGCUCUUACGGGUGGCGAGUGGCGGACGGGUGGGGAAUACAUCGGAAUCUACUUUUUCGUGGGGGAUAACGUAGGGAAACUUACGCUAAUACCGCAUACGACCUACGGGUGAAAGCAGGGGAUCUUCGGACCUUGCGCGAUUGAAUGAGCCGAUGUCGGAUUAGCUAGUUGGCGGGGUAAAGGCCCACCAAGGCGACGAUCCGUAGCUGGUCUGAGAGGAUGAUCAGCCACACUGGAAUUGAGACACGGUCCAGACUCCUACGGGAGGCAGCAGUGGGGAAUAUUGGACAAUGGGCGCAAGCCUGAUCCAGCCAUACCGCGUGGGUGAAGAAGGCCUUCGGGUUGUAAAGCCCUUUUGUUGGGAAAGAAAAGCAGCAGGUUAAUACCCCGCUGUUCUGACGGUACCCAAAGAAUAAGCACCGGCUAACUUCGUG